UACGGAGGGUGCAAACGUUGCUCGGAAUCAUUGGGCGUAAAGCGCACGUAGGCGGCGCGUUAAGUCGGGUGUGAAAGCCCUGGGCUCAACCCAGGAAGUGCAUUCGAAACUGGCGCGCUUGGAUAUGGAAGAGGGUCGCGGAAUUCCCGGUGUAGAGGUGAAAUUCGUAGAUAUCGGGAGGAACACCAGUGGCGAAGGCGGCGACCUGGGCCAAUAUUGACGCUGAGGUGCGAAAGCGUGGGGAGCAAACAGG
rnacentral:rRNA from 1 species